GACGAACGCUGGCGGCGUGCUUAACACAUGCAAGUCGUACGGUAAGGCCCUUUCGGGGGUACACGAGUGGCGAACGGGUGAGUAACACGUGAGUAACCUGCCCACAACUUUGGGAUAACGCUAGGAAACUGGUGCUAAUACUGGAUAUGUGCUCCUGCUGCAUGGUGGGGGUUGGAAAGCUCCGGCGGUUGUGGAUGGACUCGCGGCCUAUCAGCUUGUUGGUGGGGUAGUGGCCUACCAAGGCGGCGACGGGUAGCCGGCCUGAGAGGGUGACCGGCCACAUUGGGACUGAGAUACGGCCCAGACUCCUACGGGAGGCAGCAGUGGGGAAUAUUGCACAAGGGGCGCAAGCCUGAUGCAGCAACGCCGCGUGCGGGAUGACGGCCUUCGGGUUGUAAACCGCUUUCAGCAGGGACGAAGCUUUUUGUGAUGGUACCUGCAGAAGAAGCACCGGCUAACUACGUG
rnacentral:rRNA from 1 species